ensembl:lncRNA
AAAAAAAAUAGGAGGUGUGGCUUUGUUGCAGUAGGUGUGGCCUUGUUAGAGGAAGUGCGUCACAAGAGGAGGGGGAAGGGCUUUGAGGUUUCAAAAUCCCAAGCCAGGCCCCAUGCUGCUCUCUUCCUGUUGCCUGAGGAUUUGGUGCGGAACUCUCUGCUACCUCUACAGCACCGUGUCUCCUGCAUGCUGAUGCGUCAUGCCAUGAAGAUAAUGGACUAAACCUCUGAAACUGUAAGCCAGUCCUAAUUACAUGUUUUCCUUUAUAAGAUUUGCCAUGGUCAUGGUGUCCCUUCACAAGACAAAGCAUGAGGAUCUGAGUAGGAACCCCCAGCAUCCAUAUAAUGUCAUCUCCAAGCCGGUGGCUCCACAUCCUCAUCAGAUGUGGAUCAGGAUGUGAGCUCUUAGCUGCUCCUUUGCUCUGCCGCCAUGAACUCUAACCAUCUGAAACUCUAAGCCAAAUUAAACACUUUCUUUUAUCACAGCAAUAGAAAGGAAUGUGGCAUUUGGAUUGUGUCUGAGGACAGUGAUGGCCCCAGUGGUGCAUGAAUGAAGCCGGCCAGGCCUCAUAACUUCAAAUUUCUCCAGUCAUUGCCACAAGGUCAAGGUGGCACACUGCUGAUGACACCAAGGCCUUGAAAAGACUUGUGCCACCAGGCAACUUCCCUGUCCUGGAAUUGCAGAUACCUAGGAUGAGUCAAACUGAAGGGUUCUCAUGGACAAAAAGGGCCAGUUCUGGAUUAAACUGAGAACUAGAAGCACACUCCAGACAUCCUGUGAAACAUGCCAACUUCACUUAUAUACAGUAUUGGGAAAGCAACAAAAAUGUUUCUGCUAAGGAUCAUAAUCCAAAACAUCCCACCUAGGCUGCCCUUCAAAUGGAAAAUGGGUUAUUGUUUUUCACUCCUAGUGAAGUAGAAAGUCCAGUGAUUUUGUUUGUUUGUUUUUUGAGACAGGGCUUCUCUUUAGCUUUGGAUCCUGAACUGGAACUCCCUCUGUAGACCAGGCUGGCCUGGAAUUCACAGAGAUCCACCUGCUUCUGCCUCUGGAGUGCUGGUAUUAAAGGCACAAGUCUCUGCUGCUGGGCUGGCCAGUGGUCUUUUAAAGAGUAACUAUCACCUUUAUUUUUGGGGUGUUUCUCAUACUUCAUUUGUAGUUCAGACAUAUGCUUCUUUGCAGUUGCUCCAAAUAUGAUCGAACAAGCUUUGCAGUAAGAAAGCUGCCUAGGUUGUCACGUUCCCUUGGGUGCCACUGAAUAAAGGGAGGCUGUAUCUGAAUUUAGAAUUAGGUAGAGAAAGACAGAGACAGAGGUAUGCUACCAAAGCUUCCGGUAUUGGGACUGGUGCUGUAAUUGCCCCUAGGAUAUGACUCAUGGCAGCAGAAUUCUAAGAGAAAGCUAAGUCACUUAUGGGGACUUGCUGAAAAUGACAUUCAUUCCAUCUCUACAUAGGCGGCCACACCAGUUCCUUUAAAGUGAUAGUUGAAGGGCUCUUUGCUGUUCUGUUAAUGAUGAGGACUUUUCCAGGAUUGACCAAGCCAGUCAUUCCACAUGGCUGGAGACAAAGCUGAGAGUAGCUAGCCACCAACUUUUUUCUUCUUCUUUGUCCACUUCUUUCCCCCAAAGUGGUUAACAAACAGAGAGUAAAGGGUGGAUGCCUCCCCCUCCCCCUCCCCCUCCUCCUCCUCUGUCUUCAUCUUGACAGGGUCUGGCUAUGUACCUCUGUCUGUCUCCACACGCAUGUUUUCCCUGCCUCAGCAUUCCAAGUGCUGAGACUACAAGGUAGGUACCUGGCCCAGGAUUGUCUCCAUGAGGACACUAAGGAACAAACUGUAGUCAUAGGAUGGAGAACACCAGUGAGCCUGGUGGGGAGUUAUCUGGGGUACCAAGGAGAAUGUUACUGAUUUCUCCAGCUGACUCUGCCUCUGAGGAAAACUGGUUCCUGUUGUUCCCAAUGACCUUGUAGAUGCCUCCCUCAUAACCCCUUUGGAAGCUAUACUUGCAUGUCUGUGAUGUGUGUCGCAAUAAAUGGCUGAGAGGAGGAGACAUUACCCAAUUUCCAGUCUGACUCUGUCUCAAAG